CUUCUGAUGGCGACCGGCGCACGGGUGCGUAACGCGUAUCAAACCUGCCUCAUACUCGGGGAUAGCCUUGCGAAAGUAAGAUUAAUACCCGAUGUUGUUAUGUUACCGCAUGGUGAUAUAACCAAAGAUUUAUCGGUAUGAGAUGGUGAUGCGUCCGAUUAGGUAGUAGGCGGGGUAACGGCCCACCUAGCCUUCGAUCGGUAGGGGUUCUGAGAGGAAGGUCCCCCACACUGGAACUGAGACACGGUCCAGACUCCUACGGGAGGCAGCAGUGAGGAAUAUUGGUCAAUGGACGAAAGUCUGAACCAGCCAAGUAGCGUGCAGGAUGACGGCCCUCUGGGUUGUAAACUGCUUUUAGUUGGGAAUAAAAAAGAGGACGUGUCCUCUAUUGUAUGUACCUUCAGAAAAAGGACCGGCUAAUUCCGUGCCAGCAGCCGCGGUAAUACGGAAGGUCCACGCGUUAUCCGGAUUUAUUGGGUUUAAAGGGAGCGUAGGCGGAUUAUUAAGUCAGUGGUGAAAGACGGUG
rnacentral:rRNA from 1 species